AUUGAACGCUGGCGGCAUGCUUUACACAUGCAAGUCGAACGGUAACAGGCCUUCGGGUGCUGACGAGUGGCGAACGGGUGAGUAAUGCAUCGGAACGUGCCCAGAGGUGGGGGAUAACGCAGCGAAAGCUGUGCUAAUACCGCAUGUGAUCUGAGGAUGAAAGCGGGGGACCAAGCAGCAAUGUUUGGCCUCGCGCCUCUGGAGCGGCCGAUGUCAGAUUAGGUAGUUGGUGGGGUAAAGGCCUACCAAGCCGACGAUCUGUAGCUGGUCUGAGAGGACGACCAGCCACACUGGGACUGAGACACGGCCCAGACUCCUACGGGAGGCAGCAGUGGGGAAUUUUGGACAAUGGGCGCAAGCCUGAUCCAGCAAUGCCGCGUGCGGGAAGAAGGCCUUCGGGUUGUAAACCGCUUUUGUAAGGAACGAAAAGGCUCUGGCUAAUACCUGGGGCUGAUGACGGUACCGUAAGAAUAAGCACCGGCUAACUACGUG
rnacentral:rRNA from 1 species